GUAGACUGCCAGACGGUUUCUCCACUCCAAUCGCCACUCGCCACCGCCGCCCACCCGCAACUGCCGCCGACUCCUCCGCCAAUCCACCCCCACGAACGAUUCUUCCUCGCCGACGCCGCCACCCACCCACAACCACCGCCGCCUCCGCUCCAGAUCCCCCGCCGGGCAGAGUCUUACUCCUCCUCCUCCCCGCCGCCGACUCUUACUCCUCCGCCCACUCACCACGCGCGCUGCCCGCUUGCCUCCUCUGCCCAUCCACCCCAGCCGUCGACGCCGCCGUCACCCACCCGCAACCGCCGUGGACGCCACCGUUGCCGACGCCUACUACUUCGCCCACUAGCCACGCGUGCUGCCCACCUGCCUCCUCCUACCACCAGCCGCCGCCGACGACUAAUCCUCCAGAUCGCCACAGUCGCCGUGGCUGCCGCCGUUCGCGUGCUCCUCCUACCCAUCAGCCCAUUGCCCCGCGUCGCUUCGUCUCCUCACCCCGCUGCUUCUCGACACCGCCACCGCAGGAUUUGGGAGCUACAACGCAACGACGAGCUACCACCGCACCGAUCGCCAACUCUGAAUGAUUGAAUUUCUGAAGCCGAAGAUCGCCGAGCCAGCGACGAUCUCCUCCGCGGCAGCCGCUGACCGGCUCCGCCCGCCUGCCGAAACGAACGUCAUGUGUGUGGUGUGGCUAAAUGUGUUUGAUACAAUCAGGUGCGACAGCUGGUGAAGACUACGACGGCGGUGGCGGUGGUUCUUCGACGGUCUGGGCUGGCGUUGUGGCAGCUGACACAGGCGGCGCGGGCGAGAAAACGGCUCAAAAACGAUCUUUGCGGCAAACCAGUCCAGGCCUGCGGUCGCUGCCGAUGUCGAGCCACCAAUCUCACACAGAAUCUAUGCCGUGAUCUCCGCCGCCGAUGCCGGAUAUCUGCCCGCCGUCGGUUCGGACACCCCGCAUUCGCGCGCGGCGCCACCGACGCCCGGCAUCCUCUCACACGCAACGCUGGCCGCCGCCUAACCCAACAGUAGUCGCCGCUCCAACUGCAUCACAGCAGCCGCCGGGCGCCGUAGAUUCCGACACCCCUCCUUCGCGUGCGACGACGCCGACUCCCUGCAAUGGGCAAGCACGAUGGAUCAGCAUUUUGUUCUUUUUCUGAGGUGUCAUCCUGCAUGUGCAGGAAAGUGAAGAGCAUGCAAGCCUAGAUGAGUACAUGGAGAACUGGUUUGGACUGGAUCAAUACUAAUGUGCGUGCAACAACUACUGCGACAGCACGGGCAAAGGUCUUCAGACUGAAGUUUCAAUGUAGCUUCAUCAAAUUUUUGAAAGCUUUCAGCUCUUGUGAUUGAGGCAGGUAUCUCUGCCCUCCUUGUUUGAGGAUUGAGUAUAUGAGAAACUGAAGUGAAGGAGGAUUUGUGCAUGAAAAAUAUUGCA